GUCGCUUCUCGGCCUUUUGGCUAAGAUCAAAGUGUAGUCUCUGUCCUUAUCAGAUUGCAAAAUAAUAAUAAGACUCUUGAGUGGAAGGUAACCACU
rnacentral:snRNA from 1 species